GUGGGGAAUAUUGGACAAUGGGCGCAAGCCUGAUCCAGCCAUGCCGCGUGAGUGAUGAAGGCCCUCGGGUUGUAAAGCUCUUUCACCGGUGACGAUAAUGACGGUAACCGGAGAAGAAGCCCCGGCUAACUUCGUGCCAGCAGCCGCGGUAAUACGAAGGGGGCUAGCGUUGUUCGGAAUUACUGGGCGUAAAGCGCACGUAGGCGGACAUUUAAGUCAGGGGUGAAAUCCUGGGGCUCAACCCGGGAACUGCCUUUGAUACUGGGUGUCUGGAGUAUGGAAGAGGUAAGCGGAAGUCCGAGUGUAGAGGUGAAAUUCGUAGAUAUUCGGAGGAACACCAGUGGCGAAGGCGGCUCACUGGCUCGAUACUGACGCUGAGGUGCGAAAGCGUGGGGAGCGAACAGGAUUAGAUACCCCAGUAGUCC
rnacentral:rRNA from 1 species